rnacentral:rRNA from 1 species
AUUGAACGCUGGCGGCAGGCCUAACACAUGCAAGUCGAACGAGUGGCGGACGGGUGAGUAAUGUCUGGGAAACUGCCUGAUGGAGGGGGAUAACUACUGGAAACGGUAGCUAAUACCGCAUACCAUCAAAUAUUCACAGAUGGGAUUAGCUUGUUGGUGGGGUAACGGCUCACCAAGGCGACGAUCCCUAGCUGGUCUGAGAGGAGGACCAGCCACACUGGAACUGAGAAGAGGUCCAGACUCCUACGGGAGGAAGCAUUGGGGAAUAUUGCACAAUUGGCGCAAGCCUGAUGCAGCAAUGCCGCGUGUAUGAAGAAGGCCGUCGGGUUGUAAAGUACUUUCAGCGGGGAGGCGUUACCCGCAGAAGAAGCACCGGCUAACUCCGUGCCAGCAGCCGCGGUAAUAC